CCGAGUGUAGCUCAGUUGGUAGAGCGAUUGACUGUAGUGUUCUAUACUGUGUAUCAGUAUUCUCGGAAAUCAAUUGGUCGCUGGUUCGAUUCCGGCCACUCGGA
rfam:Phytophthora infestans T30-4 supercont1.26 genomic scaffold, whole genome shotgun sequence.